UACAGAGGUCUCAAGCGUUGUUUCGGAUUCAUUGGGCGUAAAGGGUGCGUAGGUGGCGCUGUAAGUCGGGUGUGAAAUUUCGGAGCUUAACUCCGAAACUGCAUUCGAUACUGCGGUGCUUGAGGACUGGAGAGGAGACUGGAAUUCAUGGUGUAGCAGUGAAAUGCGUAGAGAUCAUGAGGAAGACCAGUGGCGAAGGCGGGUCUCUGGACAGUUCCUGACACUGGAGGCACGAAGGCCAGGGGAGCAAACGGG
rnacentral:rRNA from 1 species